GGCGGGGUAGCUCAGAGGUAGAGCGAGGGUCUCAUAAUCCCUAGGCCGUGGGUUCGAGUCCCACCCCCGCUACCA
rnacentral:tRNA from 1 species